CGCUUCUAUAGGACGAGAGGUCGUUACAAGGAAAACCCAUUGCCCGGAACAGUCAUUGACGAUGUCGUUACGCGCGAAAAAUGGUAUGACUUCUUUCUCUGUAGUCAGAGUGUCAACCAAGGCACCGUGACUCCGACCCAUUACAACAUUAUCUUUGAUACUUGGAAAGGAGCGAAUAAUACAGAAUUGACGCCGAACCAAAUCCAGUCGCACACCUACCUUCAAACACACAAUUACUACAAUUGGCCGGGUACGAUAAGAGUACCAGCACAAUGCCAGUAUGCUCACAAGCUAGCCUAUCUGGUCGGCGAACACACCAUCCAUUUGCCGAACCCACAUCUCGAUAACCGUCUAUACUACCUCUAAUCGGCCUACUCCCACUGUAGCUGUGUUUCCACUGGACUAUGGAGAAACAGCCCUGCAUGGCAGCUAGCUUAUCUGGUAGGCGGAAAAUACCGUUGAAUUGCCUCUGAUCGGCCUGCUCACAGUGUGUCUCCACGGAACUAUGGAUGAACAGCCCUGCAUGGCAGUGCACUGCAUCAUGCGGCAGCUGAAAAAGAGGAACAGACAUUUGACUUUUCCAUUCAAUUCUACUGAUACAGUUUAAGUUGCUUUUCACAUUUGGAGUUUCUGUAAAACCUU